CGUACACGUACUGUUCUGGACUCUUCUCCCCCACCAGUCUACCUCCACCGCCCACCCCGCACCACGCGACGCUCCCCAUCUCCCCCGCCCGCGCCGCCUUGAUCCCUCCUUCGAGUCCUUCCCCCAGGUCCAGGAGGCGCCGCCUUCUUCCCCCAUGCUGCGCCGCCGCUGCCUGGUUCCAGAUCUAAAGCUUGGAUUUUGCGCGGCGGACCAACGCCGCAUCCAUCCCCAAGUGCCCCUGGCCAUGGUGGCCGUCGUUCAUGUCCACCUCCACUACCAUUACCUCCCCCCUCCUCCGUCCGUUGCCUCGCUGACCCGGCCUCUUCACCUUGCCAUGGCGCUCCCCACACCCCGCGCUCCUGCCUGCCCGCCUCCGCGCCCCCCUCCCCGCGUGCACCUGCCCCUCGCCGUCACCAGCACAGAUGAGCGGGAGGCAAAUGAGGAGUUUGUGGUGGCCACAUACAAGCUGGUGCCCGUCGACGACCCCCGCGCACAACUCCACUUCUCCCUUGGGCCAUUUAGUUUCAGUUCAGUUCACUAGAUUUGGGAUAUCUGAUGAAAGACAUGAUUUUUUUACACAUUGCAUCUCUCCUAUAGCAGGUUAGGAAGAUUACUUGGAUGCUUUUCAGGCUUCUCCAGCAUUGACCGGGCAUGCUCUCCAGUACGAACAAUCACUUAUUCAGAUCAUACAGUGACACUCUUGACUGCACAACAAUAAUCAGCAGCGCCGGCAGCCAAAGCAGACGAAGUGGCUGGUCCUGCGAGUGGCGGUGGUGGUCGCCUACGUGGUGUAGGUGGGCGGCGGUGGUCAUCCCCAUGGCGGCGGCGCAGGUGGGCGGUGGCGCUGAGCCCGGCGGUGGAUGCAUUGGUCGCUCCCGUGCGUCGUGGUGGGUGAGGUGCCCAGGUGGGUGGCGGUGGUCGAGCUGCGCAGGUGGUCGGUGGUGGUCGCCUCCGUGGCGGCGGUGAAGGUGGGUGGCAGAAUUGGACCCGAUGGUGGCUCGUGCGGGCGAUGGUGUUGGACGAUUUUUCUUUUUGUGGCAAAAAUUAUAACGAACUACAUCUGCGACAAGCUUUGCUUUAGUUUUUAUGUCUUGACUGGUACUCUAUCAUGUUUUUAAUUUAUUUAUUUGAAUCAGAAACCGAAUCAGUAUUUUUAUC